CCACUACAGAUGCAAGAAAAAUGUCCUUGCGCUUUCUAUCUGCCUGAUUGUGGCAGCCAAGAUUGAAUAGAGGAAUACAGGG
rnacentral:snoRNA from 1 species